rnacentral:rRNA from 1 species
GUGGGGAAUAUUGGACAAUGGGCGAAAGCCUGAUCCAGCCAUGCCGCGUGUGUGAAGAAGGUCUUCGGAUUGUAAAGCACUUUAAGUUGGGAGGAAGGGCAGUAAGUUAAUACCUUGCUGUUUUGACGUUACCGACAGAAUAAGCACCGGCUAACUUCGUGCCAGCAGCCGCGGUAAUACGAAGGGUGCAAGCGUUAAUCGGAAUUACUGGGCGUAAAGCGCGCGUAGGUGGUUUUGUAAGUUGGAGGUGAAAGCCCCGGGCUCAACCUGGGAACUGCCUCCAAAACUGCAUGACUAGAGUACGGUAGAGGGUAGUGGAAUUUCCGGUGUAGCGGUGAAAUGCGUAGAUAUAGGAAGGAACACCAGUGGCGAAGGCGACUACCUGGACUGAUACUGACACUGAGGUGCGAAAGCGUGGGGAGCAAACAGGAUUAGAAACCCGGGUAGUCC